UCCGCCCCCAGCGUCUGCUCUGGGCCUGGGAGACCCCAUCACCCCCGCCCCCACCCCACAUAGCCCCAUUGUGAGUCCGUGUAGCUGGCCUUGUCUGUUGACUUCUCUCCAUCCCGGGGCGGGGGGGGGGGGGGGGGGGGGCCGGUUCAGGUGCCUGGGGUGGAGGGUGGAGGGGUGAGGCGGUGCGGGGCUCGGAGACCAGCCUCAGAGCUCCCCAGGCUCCUUAGACCCACUCAAGAACUUGCCAGUAAAAUGAGGGACAAUGUGCAUAUUGGAAAAUUCAAGUCCAGGCAGGUGGGCUAUAUGCAUGUUCCAGGCUGCUGUUUGCCGUGGCCCUGGAGGACCUCACUGGAGAACAAAUAUUGAUGCUUUGUUAGCGCACACAGACAUUCUCGGCAAUGCUGAUUAGCGCUUGGGGCUGAUCCGACCAAGGUCAGGGGCUUGUGCCCCCUCAAACUGCACCCAUUAGCUUCUCUUAGAGAAGCCCGGAGACGACACGCCUGGCGGUGGGAGGGGGCUUUCCAGUCCACCAGCAUGGACCCGAAUGCUCAGGCCUCCCUGCCUCUAAGGCUUUCACCUUCCAUGGCUUCAGAGGAUCGCAUGAGGUCAACACCAGCUAAGACGUGUGAAGCCCUUGACACAGAGCUCAGCAGAGACAGGAUGCUCAGUCCAUGGGAGCCAUGAUGAUGAUAAUGAUUAUUAACAUGUUCCCAAGGUGGCCUUCGUCUGCUAAGCGUCUUUUCAACUCUCUUUUUUCCUCCUCUCAACGUGGACCAGCUACACUUGAAGUGCUCAAGAGCCACACUCAGCUGGUCGCUACCUUACAGAUGGCGCAGGUCCAGAAGAUGGGCCUCAGAACUGAGUCUGACCUGUUAAACGACCCUGCACACGGCUAUUGGGGGGAUUUCUUAAGUCUCUGGGUAAAGCUACGGAAAACAAAUGGUGGCUCCAGGAGCUGGUCCUUAAAGCAAUCGAAAGAGAAAACGGGAGUGAUGCCAACAGCCAGGCAAACGCCCCCAGCAAAGCGACCAUUCGGCAGCCUCUGGAAUCUUCUUCUCAUGUCUGGUGGAAGGCAGGCUCCUCCCCAGAGCCGUAAGCAGGGCCUUCCUGGGGCCUCUCGAAGUGUGUGCAACGUGGAGAAAAAUUAUCGGCUCCGAAAUUUGACAAGAAAGCAGCAAAAUCAAAAUUAAUAAAUGCUUCAUUAAACGCCUGCCAAAUACAGCAAUGAGGCCUCCUCGGCGCUUGUUGGAUGCAGUAUUCACGAUGCGGUCGUCAUAAAAACUUCAUUACAUUUGAGAAAACAGCUACGAGAACUCCUAAGGAUGCUAUUGGUUGUGGGGGGAAUCACAGGUAAUUCCGACUUUGAUGAAUUACCCACCACCAGAUAAUUUAAGAAGCUGAAUCAUUA
rnacentral:lncRNA from 1 species